UGUUGGAAAAAAAGGAAAGCAAAGCAGCUGGGAGGGAUUAGGCUGAGCUGGCGUCUGCACUUUCAACUGAUUCAAUUUUGCUCCACAAGACAUUGUAUCUGAGCCUUUCUGGAGACUAUUCAAAGCAAAUCAUUUUCAUUUUACCAUUUGGAAGUGCCGUGGGGAUCCCAAGACAUGGGGAUUGACGGGGGCAUGGAGGGGCAUGGGGUGAUCUGACCCUGCCACCCAGAGCACUUUGGCCAUGCUGCAAAAUAGGUGCAGCCCCUGUCUGAAGUGAAAAGUUCUGCUGCAUCUAAGCCCAGGGGCUGAGGACCUGACUCCAGAAAGUCUCUGUUCAGAUCACCAACCUGCACCCUCAGGCAGUAAACCCGACAGUGAGGCAGGACCUGGCAUGGGCUCAGCCUGCCAGGGGAGUAUUGCAGAGGAGAGCGUGCCACGUGGAGCAGCAGCUCAUCAGGCCAACAGAAAUCCACACACAUCUGUUCAGCAGCACCCAGCUCCAGUGCAAAAUGGAAAGUUGGACAGAAAAGAAGCCUCUGGACCACAUCCCAUGCCGAGGGUGGUGUGCUGAGGAGAGGAACAUGUGAGCCAGACCAUGAGGAUGGAGCCUUGCUCAGGCCUCUGCACCCAGGGGAGACCCAGGACUCUGUGAAUCCCAGGACACACCAGGGCCAGGCACAAUGAACAACGGUGAAAAACAGUGAAUAUUCCAGCAGGAAAUUGAUCAUGUUUGGGAUGAACCUUGAUCCCACACCGAUACUGAUGGUGCUGGGAAAUGACAUUAGUCCUUCUGAUGGGAGUGAAACCAGUCCAUUUCCAGCAUGUGCCAUAUGAUGGUGCCUUCCUUGACUCUCAGCACUGCUCAUGCUGAGAGCAGACACAUUUUCCCUAGGGAAAACAGACUCAAAAUAUCCGUUUGUUCCAAGAAAAUAAUUCAGUGCCUCUAAAGGGUAUCUGGUUCUGUGACUUGAAGUCUCUCUUGUAGUCACCUGCUCCACCAUUACUGUUCAGUGUGUUAUCCUGGAGGUCCAGGAAGAGCAAAUACACGUGAAUAAAUGGAAUGGCGAAACAAAAUCCAUCUAUAAUUAUGAUAUCAGAGCAGCACAAAGUCUUUUUGAUGUCAUCCAGCAGCUCACUGAAAUCUUUAAGAGAUUUUGUGCUGUGAGAAAGAACAAGCACAGGAGGAAAGCACUGUCAGCAAGAAGGAGGUGACAUUGGGGCUGUCACCCUGUGGAACCCUCCAUUGUCUUCACACCAGGUGCUGGCUGGAAGGGGGAUUGUCUGUGGUCCCCAUCCCCAAUGCACUUUUGGAGAAGGCACAGGUGCCAGGCAAGGCAGGAGCCCCUGGGUGCUGAUGGCAUGGGGAUGCUCAUCCCAAGGGAGCAGCCUGGGGUUUCCCCAGUGCCCACCCAGGCAGGCAGGAUCUGCAGCUCUGCAGGAACCCUCACCCCUGCCCUUGUGUGGGACCCAAACCCCUGACCCACUCAGUCUAGAACUGAACCAGUGACUUCCUGGCCCAAAGGCAAGAACACUCUCAACCAAGUCAGCCUGAACUGAUUAUUUUUAAAUUACGUUUGCUAAAAGCAAGAACGAGCAGAAGAGUUGGGGGAAGCAGGGAGUCACAUUGCUCUAAUCAUCUACAUUUCAGUGACAGCUUUACUGCUUUUAUUUCAAGUCAGCUUGGCAAAAGCCCUUUAUCAAGAGCUCUCCUGCAGCAUGUGUUUCAAGUCCAUAGUAGGAUUUUGGAUGUGACACAUCACUGGGCUGCGAGAGGGCAGGAAGGAGCACGACCUCCCUCGAGUGCUCACAGAAAAUAAGUCCAAGCCAUUCUGGACAGGGUUCUUGGCUUGACAUGACCUAAAAGGGUUUCUUUUUAAACUUCCAUUUGAUGUUAAACAAAGCACCACAAAACUGAUUAAGAGCUUUUGCCCACCUAUAUAAUACUUUAAGCUCUGUGUGCCAUUAGAAUACUUUUAGCGGCACAUGUGAUGAGCCUACCAAGGAGGUGUAGAGGAUCUACAGCCUGGAUUAUUAUAAAAGUGGGCAAGGAAAGAAAAGAAAAUUUUUCCUCUACUGGAAGCAGUUCAUCCAGACCUUUCCCUGCUAAACAACAUCUGACAUUUGUAGACAGUGCUGUCUGCCCACAGCCCACCUGCUCUAGUGGGACGGGGUUGGUUGUUCAUGUUCUGAGCACAAACUGGAGAUAAAACAAUAUCUCCGCUGCCUUCAGUGCCUGGCUGUUCCUCCCCUGCCAUCCAGGAUGGGUCAGGAUGAGAGACAGGAGUCUGCAAUCAUCUCUCACCUCUAAACCUGCUAAGUUUGGUACGAAUUCCUGGAGGAGCCAGCAGAGGCCUUUCCUGCUUCCCUGCACACCUCUCUGGCAGGCGCAGCCUGGGACUAGCAGGGGAGCAAAAGCCAUUCAGGCCCCAAAAUCAGGCGACGUUUUUGCCAGGUUAUGUCAUGACAUUGGGCAAGUUUGGGCUGGGGCACAUGGUCAUGAAGAAAACCAGCCACCCAGAGCUGGGGGUGACAGGGGGGCCAUAAAACUCUCCCAGCAACUGCAGGCGGGCCAGUGCCUCCCAUGCAGGACCAUCAACUCAUUUGGGGCUGCCAAGGCUUCUUCGGGUGCUUCAGGAACUGCUGCAGAGUUCUGUGAGCUCUUAUUAAGAAGGAGCUUUGUGGUUCACAGUCUGCACAAGCAGUAAACUACAUCGGAAUUAAUCCCAAAUAUAUUUUUAAAAAGCAGAAAAGUUG